CCUACGGGCGGCAGCAGUGAGGAAUAUUGGUCAAUGGGCGCGAGCCUGAACCAGCCAAGUAGCGUGAAGGAUGACUGCCCUACGGGUUGUAAACUUCUUUUAUAAAGGAAUAAAGUGAGGCACGUGUGCCUUUUUGCAUGUACUUUAUGAAUAAGGACCGGCUAACUCCGUGCCAGCAGCCGCGGUAAUACGGAGGAUCCGAGCGUUAUCCGGAUUUAUUGGGUUUAAAGGGAGCGUAGAUGGGUUUUUAAGUGAGUUGUGAAAGGUUGCGGCUCAACCGUAAAAUUGCAAUGGAUACUGGCGGUCUUGAGUACAGUAGAGGUAGGCGGAAUUCGUGGUGUAGCGGUGAAAUGCUUAGAUAUCACGAAGAACUCCGAUUGCGAAGGCAGCUUACUAAACUGCCACUGACGUUGAUGCUCGAAGGUGUGGGUAUCAAACAGGAUUAGAUACCCCGGUAGUC
rnacentral:rRNA from 1 species